UACAGAGGUCCCAAGCGUUGUUCGGAUUCAUUGGGCGUAAAGAGUGUGUAGGCGGUGCUCUAAGUCUGUUGUGAAAUCUCCCGGCUUAACCGGGAGGGUGCGGCGGAAACUGGAGUGCUUGAGGGUGGGAGAGGUAAGCGGAAUUCCUGGUGUAGCGGUGAAAUGCGUAGAUAUCAGGAGGAACACCUGUGGUGUAGACAGCUUACUGGACCACUUCUGACGCUGAGACACGAAAGCGUGGGUAGCAAACAGG
rnacentral:rRNA from 1 species